rnacentral:sRNA from 1 species
UCUGUAGAGUCUUCCCUUGAGCUGUACAGAAACAAAAGUACAUGCUUCCUUAAAGGACAAACCACAGAAGAUCAUGGGAAGGCAGGGAGAUCAUGCCCAAGUCUGUUGGCAAAGCAGUUACAGUGAGAUGAACAGCUGUGUUCUACUCAGGACUCCUGCCUUGACGCUAUGCCCCUCGUAGACCCAAAACCAUGGUGCCAACCACUCUCUGAAACUUGCUUCCAUUACUGGCUCAAGAUUCCUCCGGCCCACCGUGGCACCCGUGUCGUGGCAUGCAGUGACAAUGAGCUCAGGGUGCCAAAGUAGACGUGUGCAGAGCAACGGAAAGACUACACAGGGACACUUCACCGGAAUGUAGCAACAGGCUAAUGGCAUCUUCAACUUCACGUGACCUGCGUUUGGAACAUCAGAAUUAAGCAUCCAUAUUGACUCUGCCUUUCUUGUGAAAACAAUUAAACAGUGUGUGCUAGGCAGAGAGUCAUCUCAGGGAUUAAAAGGUGUUCACCUAUUCUUGCAAAAUCCAAGACAUGAAGGGCGGGUGUCAGAUCCUGUCCUGAGAGAGGUAGGGUGUAGGAGGGACCCUUACCAGAUGGCUGUAGUAGUCCUGUUCCUUAGGCAUCAGAAACACCCAGGAACUGUCCAACGACAAGGGUCGGACUGCCGUGAACUUGAAGAGGACAUUUCAGAAAGUCGUGUGUUUUGCAUAAAGACACACAGGCCAAGGGAAGGUUUGCAGUGGAUAAAAAUAGUCGCUGAGUCCCCGGCGUAGAUAACUCCACCUUAGAUGGGUGCAGUUACGGCUUGGCCCAUCAAAGCGACGGGGCUUCCCACAUCCCUCUGAAUUUCCUUCAGGGUCUUCAAAACCCAGCACUUACUCAAAAGCAGCAUGCAGCUGUGACUGACUGCUGUUUUAUGGCACGUUUACAAGAAUCGUAAUGUCCCCUAAAGCAGUUCUGAAAAUAGUAGAGUUCCCCCUUUCUGGUUUCUCCAU